CGGCGGUGAUGGCGGUAGCGG
rnacentral:misc_RNA from 1 species